CCAANGUAUGCUUUGGAAACUGUUAGACUUGAGUGCAGAAGGGGAGAGUGGAAUUNCAUGUGUAGCGGUGAAAUGCGUAGAUAUAUGGAGGAACACCGGUGGCGAAAGCGGCUCUCUGGUCUGUCACUGACGCUGAGGCUCGAAAGCGUGGGUAGCGAACAGGAUUAGAUACCCUGGUAGUNCACGCCGUAAACGCUGAGUGCUAGGUGUUAGGUCCNUUCCGGGACUUAGUGCCGACGCUAACGCAUUAAGCACUCCGCCUGGGGAGUACGACCGCAAGGUUGAAACUCAAAGGAAUUGACGGGGGCCCGCACAAGCGGUGGAGCAUGUGGUUUAAUUCGAAGCAACGCGAAGAACCUUACCAGGUCUUGACAUCCCGAUGCCCGCUCUAGAGAUAGAGUUUUUCUUCGGAACAUCGGAGACAGGUGGUGCAUGGUUGUCGUCAGCUCGUGUCGUGAGAUGUUGGGUUAAGUCCCGCAACGAGCGCAACCCUUAUUGUUAGUUGCCAUCAUUAAGUUGGGCACUCUAGCGAGACUGCCGGUAAUAAACCGGAGGAAGGUGGGGAUGACGUCAAAUCAUCAUGCCCCUUAUGACCUGGGCUACACACGCGCUACAAUGGUUGGUACAACGAGUCGCAAGCCGGUGACGGCAAGCUAAUCUCUGAAAGCCAAUCUCAGUUCGGAUUGUAGGCUGCAACUCGCCUACAUGAAGUCGGAAUCGCUAGUAAUCGCGGAUCAGCACGCCGCGGUGAAUACGUUCCCGGGCCUUGUACACACCGCCCGUCACACCACGAGAGUUUGUAACACCCAAAGUCGGUGAGGUAACCAUUUAUGGGGCCAGCCGCCUAAGGUGGGANGGA
rnacentral:rRNA from 1 species